UAGAGAUGUGUGCGCCAUACAGCUGCAUAGUACGCAAGACCACAGCCUGCCGGAGAUGGUGAUCGCGUCGGCCUACAUGCCGGAGGCUGAUGCGCCACCGCCGCACGACAUGGCACGGCUGAUAACAUACUGCGAAGAGGCCAGGCUGCAACUAAUUAUAGGCACUGACUCCAACGCACAUCACACCCUAUGGGGAAUGAAAACAACAAACGAAAGAGAAGCGGCCUCCGAGACCAUCUCCAACUGGCACGUAUCCGAUGAGGCAUCGUGCUCAGAUCACAGAUGGAUACGCUUCGAUGUGCAGGU